UACGGGGGGGUGCAAGCGUUGUUCGGAUUUAUUGGGCGUAAAGCGCGCGUAGGCGGACCUGCAAGUCAGAUGUGAAAUCUCGGGGCUCAACCCCGAAACUGCGUCUGAAACUACAGGUCUAGAAUCUUGGAGGGGGAAGGGGAAUUUCGCAUGUAGGGGUAAAAUCCGUAGAUAUGCGAAGGAACACCAGAGGCGAAGGCGCCUUCCUGGACAAGUAUUGACGCUGAGGCGCGAAAGCGUGGGGAUCAAACAGG
rnacentral:rRNA from 1 species